AGGUGUCAGGUGUGUUGUAUCUCUCCAGUUCACCAUCCCCAUUAAGAGGGGUGGUGGUACUUGAUUCAGUUCCCAGUUGGAUACCCCUAAGAGAUCUACCCGUGACACUUUGGGGUGAGUCUUUCAUUAACGGACUGAUGACUACUUUUUUUUUUUGACUGGCAUUGGUGGAGCAGCAGAUUUGGAGGUACAGAAGGAAGACAAUUGGAAUGUCUUUUCUAAGGAAGAGUCAUUUCUAAUGGCAGAGUUCAUCCCCUCUGUCCCAUUUGAGAGUGGCAGUCAUUUCUGUUUUUCAUAUAGACUGAGGAGAGCUCAGAGACAUUAGUUUGAAUCAUGAGCCAGAUUGCUGGUUCCCCAAGAAAUUGCUCAGUAAUGUAAAAAUACGCUUUCCACAGUUUAUGAGGUGGAUGGUUGUAAUUAGGCAUCCAAAGAUCAUCGAGGGGUCCACAAGCUGGAACUUCGGACUCCCGUGGAUCUUUACAGCUGUCAGAGGCUGGGCAUCCAGGACACCAGGCUGAGAAGCCGGCAGGGCUGAGGGAAUAUGGUGGUGCACCCAACCCAAUCCUCACAAGCCCAAUCUCUACCAGCUCACUGUCUCAGACUCCUUCACUCCUCCACUGAGAAGAGGGGAUUUGUGACGUCAGAAAAAUUAAUGCUAUUUGGCCUCCAUUAAGAAGAUUGGAUACCUGCCCACCACCUUCUUCUGGCAUUUGUCCUAACAGCUGUUCCUUGAACAACGCUAAUUAACAUCUGUACAGAAUGAUUUUUAUUCAUAGAGUUCUGAAGCAUUAAUUUGUGUCAUAGCAUCCCUAAGAGGUAUGCAAGAUCCAGUGGCCGCAGGAAGCUUUAUUAAAUAUUUAAAGACACAGACCACCGAGGCAUGGAAAGCUAUAGCCCUAAGCAAAAUUGCAAAGGAGUGAAUGAAGCUCAUGUUCCGGCUUCACUGCCUCUCUUUUACUGCAAUCCUUUCCUUAUUUACACCCCUCUCUUGGUGCCCAAUAAAUCAGUGGUGGGGUGGUAAAAUCACUGAGCUUGGAGUUAGAGUCUAACUCCACAUUUGCAUUUUGCCUCUAAAUAAA